rnacentral:sRNA from 1 species
GAGCAUCGUAUCCACGACGCGCGGCAGC